GGACCCGAAAGAUGGUGAAC
rnacentral:ncRNA from 3 species